GUCCUUAUAGUAGAACGAUUUAUAGUAGCACGUCUGACUCCAGAUCAGAAGGUUGCGUGUUCAAGUCACGUCGGGGUCA
rnacentral:tRNA from 1 species